CCUGUUGCACCUUGAAUCCCUCCGGACUCGUCAGAAUAAUCCCUGCUCCACUGAUGUCCGUAGUAGAAGACCCAUCUGCAUACAACGUCCACGAACUCUGCUUCUGCUGAAGAAUUGCAACUGCUUUGUCAGAUCCUUCAGCUUCUGCAACAACUUCAUCAGCUUCAGAGAACGAACAUUCGACUACAAAAUCAGCUAAGGUCUGCCCCUUGAU
rnacentral:lncRNA from 1 species